CACACACACACACACACACACACACACUUUACUGACAUGGUACACGUUCUUUGCACACCAAAAAUAAAGUGAGCAGUAAUGAAAAUACACCAAUAAUGGAGUCAAUGGAGGGAGUUAUGCAGAAGCUGGGACUUAGAGUUACUUAAAGGCCCUAUGCAGGCUCUCCUUUUGUUGGAGGAGAAAUUUCAAGUGCAAUGUGGUUCUUUAUUUUCUUUCUCUAAAGCACACAGGCUAUGGUGGAAUGUAGGGCUUUGACCAUGUUUGGAAAGUACAAUCACACUGAAUUAAAUCCUAGGGCUGGAACCCUAUUACUCUUCUACAAAAUUACAGACCAGGCUGGAUGAAUACUCCCAGGAGACAAUGUGGACAUCUCAAGACAGGCACUGGACAAUGGCUGAAGACUUGUCUGAAGACUGGAAAUAUUUUGAAAAUUCAGAGAGAAAAAAAAGGCCCCUCUGACUACACCGUACUCUAAGGACAGUUUAUGCAGGUGCUUCCUACACAAGAAGUCACAUGACCAUAGAGUGUCAUUUGUCAAAGAACCAAGAACUUGUUCAAAACUCUACAGAGCAUCCAAUCUAUCACAUGGAUAUGCAAUAAUGAGAUGCUCCAGUUGUUGUGGCC
rnacentral:sRNA from 1 species